GGUAGAAGCAAAUAUUUAAGUUCGAACCUUGAAGACCGAAGUGGAGAAGGGUUCCACGUGAACAGUAGUUGAAUGUGGGUCAGUCGAUCCUAAGAUACUGGCUUAUGCCUUGUAUCAUCGAGAAGAAAAAGCUCUUUUCUCUCGGAUAUCAAGAAGGAACAGGGUUAAUAUUCCCUAACGCAGACACAGAGAUUGUGGCUCUUUCAGUCACUUGCGCGGUUGAGAGCUUGUUAAGGCAUUUUAGGAGAAUAGUGUUC
rnacentral:ncRNA from 1 species